ACGGGUGAGUAAUGUCUGGGGAUCUGCCCGAUAGAGGGGGAUAACCACUGGAAACGGUGGCUAAUACCGCAUAACGUCGCAAGACCAAAGAGGGGGACCUUCGGGCCUCUCACUAUCGGAUGAACCCAGAUGGGAUUAGCUAGUAGGCGGGGUAAUGGCCCACCUAGGCGACGAUCCCUAGCUGGUCUGAGAGGAUGACCAGCCACACUGGAACUGAGACACGGUCCAGACUCCUACGGGAGGCAGCAGUGGGGAAUAUUGCACAAUGGGCGCAAGCCUGAUGCAGCCAUGCCGCGUGUAUGAAGAAGGCCUUCGGGUUGUAAAGUACUUUCAGCGGGGAGGAAGGCGGUGCGGUUAAUAACCGCGCCGAUUGACGUUACCCGCAGAAGAAGCACCGGCUAACUCCGUGCCAGCAGCCGCGGUAAUACGGAGGGUGCAAGCGUUAAUCGGAAUUACUGGGCGUAAAGCGCACGCAGGCGGUCUGUUAAGUCAGAUGUGAAAUCCCCGGGCUUAACCUGGGAACUGCAUUUGAAACUGGCAGGCUUGAGUCUUGUAGAGGGGGGUAGAAUUCCAGGUGUAGCG
rnacentral:rRNA from 1 species